AAAACCUCCUGGCGCGUAUCUCAGCUCAGCUCAGCUCAGAUCUUCAGGUGUGUCUGUGUGUGUGUGAGAACAGAAACUUUCAUCAUGAUUAAAGUUGCAGCGGUGUGUAUGGUGCUGUUUGUGGCCGUCAUGCUUCUCUCGACACAGGUUUAUGCUCAAAAUGACAAAAAUCUUACAAUCACGGCUGCUACUACUACUUCUACUACUAAAAGUGCAGGAUUCAUGGUGCUGCCCUGCAUCCUCAGCCUCAUCCUCCCCACCUGCCUGCUUAUGAGUCUGUUCCACGAGUUCCACUGCUGAACCACUUGCACAGACCGUGCAAAGAUGACUGGAACCACACCCAAAGAGCAACGCUUUUUAAAUUCUAGUUCAGGUGGAAAUGAUUUGUUAUGACCUACCUGAGAUCUUCUUUCAACGAAUUACAUAAUGCUAUCCUUUAAGGAUCUACACAAUGAAGCUCUCCUGGAUUUUUUUAUCUCCCAAAUUCUCAGUUCCUCUGAUGGCCAGGAAAUCAAACUGCACUGGUUGAGACAAAUCAAAAAUUAACCAGAUCACGCUGCAUUUCCUCGCCUUAUUCUUACACACCUUUAUGCCCUUAUCAAAUGACAUUUAGUCAUUGAAUGCCAUUUUAAACAAAUAAUUUAUUUUAAGUAGCUCUUUUUGUAUAGAUCUUUAAUAUUGAUAUAAUUGUAAAUGUCCACAAUAAAAAGUUGGUACUUCAUUGA